rnacentral:lncRNA from 1 species
AUGCGCGGUAUUACGGACAGCAGUACGCAUGCGCGAGCUUCGAGACGGAAGUACGCAUGCGCGAGAUUACGGACGGCAGUACGCAUGCGCGACAUUAUACACAACUGUACGCAUGCGCGACAUUAUAGACGGCAGUACGCAUGCGCGAGCUUCCAGACGGUAGUACGCAUGCGCGACAUUACUGACAGCACUACGCAUGAGCGAGCCCCGAGACGGCAAUACGCAUGCGCGAGCCGCGAGACGGCAGUACGCAUGCGCGAGUUUCGAGACGGCAGUACGCAUGCGCAACAUUAUAGACGGCAGUGGCAGCAGAUACCGUGGCAACAACAACUCCGCCGCCUUUUAGCGGACUGCCUGGGACCGUGGGCGCGCAUCCCCUUCUCUCUUUCUUUUCUUGGCAGAGGAUGGUGGGGGGAAGAAGGGGAGACGACAAAGAAAAGCAAGGAAAACUUCGACAAACCCUCCAACCCCGUGCUAAAUGCUUUGGUAUACCUGUAAAUAAAUGAAUACAUAACCAGCAAGUUGUUGUUGUCAUGCCUUUUUUUUUUUUUAAUAUGUGUAUGUGUAUACAUUUAUAUAUACACAUGUAUAUACAUAUUUCAGCCAGCAUCUGAGGUGAUGAAAAAACAUGGUAUGAAUUGCACGCAGUGAAGCCAAGGGUGCCUUGGAACAAUUAACA